AGAGUUUGAUCCUGGCUCAGGACGAACGCUGGCGGUGUGCUUCACACAUGCAAGUCGAACGAGGUAGCAAUACCUAGUGGCGGACGGGUGAGUAACGCGUGGGAAUCUGCCUUAAGAUGGGGGAUAACGGGCCGAAGGGCUCGCUAAUACCGCAUAUGCCGAAAGGUGAAAGGAGUAAUCCGUCUUAAGAUGAGCCCGCGUCCGAUUAGCUAGUUGGUAGGGUAAAGGCCUACCAAGGCGACGAUCGGUAGCUGGUCUGAGAGGAUGAUCAGCCACAAUGGGACUGAGACACGGCCCAUACUCCUACGGGAGGCAGCAGUGGGGAAUUUUACGCAAUGGGGGAAACCCUGACGUAGCGACACCGCGUGAGCGAAGAAGCCCCUUGGGGUGUAAAGCUCUGUCAGCUGGAACGAAAAAAAUGACGGUACCAGCAGAGGAAGCAUCGGCUAACUACGUGCCAGCAGCCGCGGUAAGACGUAGGAUGCGAGCGUUGUCCGGAUUUAUUGGGCGUAAAGAGUUCGUAGGUGGUUUGUCAAGUCUGAUGUUAAAGAUCGGGGCUCAACCCUGGGACUGCAUUGGAUACUGGCAGACUUGAGUGUGGUAGAGGCUAGUGGAAUUCCCAGUGUAGCGGUGAAAUGCGUAGA
rnacentral:rRNA from 1 species